rnacentral:lncRNA from 1 species
UGUGAGUGGAAGACAACGAGAGAGAGAUGUAAGUGAGAAGAGAGUUAUCUCAUUAUUAUUUCUUCUUGUGUUACAGCACAAGCUAUAUAUAUACGAGUCAUAAACCGACUCAAGACAACACCUAUGAUACAUAUGUAAGAUAAGUGUUGAUUCGACAAGGAUGACUUAGCUAUCAAGACAAAGACAUGUGUCUUUUGAUGACUAAUCACUAUUUCUAACACUCCCCCUUG